ACGCUGGGAGCCCCGCCUGCUCGCCCUACCCCACCGGGUCCGGUCCCAAGGGGUCUCGCGGACCGCGCUGUGUCCCUGCCUCCUGCCCUCAGGCUAGGGUGCCGCUGGCCGAGGUGCGCCCCGACGCCCUGCCAUCCCACCGCCCUCCAAGCCGGGAGCUAGCUGAGAAACUGCAGGAAUUGGUUUUUUAAAAAAUCUGAUUCGGGUUGCUGAAGACUGGAGGAGUCUAAUCAGAGAGGAUGACGCAGCCCGAACCCGACAGACGGCGAGUACGGCGAGGAGGGCUGGUAACCCGAGCUGGACUCGAAUGAUGAGGGGUGCGCCCCGGGAUUCUCGGCUCCGGGCCGGCGCGGGUCCAGAACUCGUGCUCAGAGCGUGGGCAACCGAGCAGAGACGCAAGCGUGCGCGGCCGACACGUGGAGGAAGUCUGCUGUAGACACAGAAAUGGAGGCAGAUGCAUUGGGCUGGACUUGGACCAGGAGAGCCGUGCUAGAGACGAAGGUCCCACUGUGUGCUGCAUGGCGUGGGGGCAGGAGUCCCAGGUUGCUUCUGGAGGGUUGCAUGCUCCCACUGGUUAAAUUAGCAUAGAGUACCCUAGGAACUGAAUCAUCAGUUCCUAGGGUUCUGGAAUUCCAGACCAUCGAACAGACCAGACCUCCCAGGAGCUCACAUUCUCUUUGAGACAAGAGGACGACGAAUGCUGGGUUUUGCUCCAACUUCCAUUUUAGAGAAACCAAUGCUGGCCUGAAAACUCCCCUUCCAGUAAAGACUGGGUGGGGUGGGGUGGUCUGAGAUCACACAGUCAGCAGGCUGAGUGAAGCCAUCCCGACAACAUUCCUCAUUCUGUCUUACCGAUCAGCAGAACCUCCAUGGUAUGUGCAUGGAAACCCCAUAGGGAGGACCAGAGGAAGGGGUGAGCCAGAGCUGGAUAGCUGGGAUCCCCCCUCCCCAUCCCAGGGUGCUGAGAAUCUGCCUUCACUUUGGAUCUUCCCUGGGCUGCGGGCCUUGCGCUUCCUCCCCCCUCCGUUUUGGAGUUGGGAGGUUGCCCCCCAGGUCCCACUUCAUCGGGUCCCCUUCACAAACCCAAGCUUCAGCCUUAUGCUACCUGCCCGCUGAUGGGGUCUCUUUGAAGAAUUGAUUUCCACAAAGUCCCUAAAGUGUUUCCUCAGCAGUAAAUCUCCUGCCGCCCAGGCUCUCUGCCCCAUAAAUGAUUUAGCACCUCGGUGGGGUUGGAACAGUCUUCCUGUGCCCUUGGAGGCCGGCAGCUGUGACAUCACCAUCCCGGCUGGUGAUGGAUGGUAUCUUCUGCCCUAAUGGGAGAAGAGUGCACAGUGCCGUCUGGGAGGGGGUCGGGCCAUGGUAGUAAGUACCCAUCUGGCUCUACAGACUUCUGGUUUGGGGGUCUUCCUGAUGGACCAGCCAGCUAAUUGCCCUCCAAGGUACCGAGAGAAAGGGCCUGAGUCUAUCUCUCUGUCCCCUGCCCAGAGGGACCCAGGCUCAUUUCAGAGUGGGGUUUGUCUUUCCAGUUUUUAAAGUGCUCCAGAGAGAGGAAUUAUAUAUACCAAAUGCCCUCUUAUCCUGCUUUACCACAUUCUCACAUGCACAGAUGCACCCUCAUGGGUAUGCACACUCCUGGCUGCUUUCUCAAGAGCCUUCCCAGGAAGUUCAUCAUUGUGUCCCACCUAAAUCUUUCCUGCUACCAAUGAAGGCCAUUUUUCUCUGAAUCCAUAUGGAACCGACAGAGAACAGGUGGUUAUUAUCGGCCAUAUGCUAAGCCUGCAAGCAUACACGGUGAAGGAUGACAGGGUUUUGGUCCCUCCCUCCCAUCGUCUUUCUUGUAAACUUCGAUGACCCCAUCCUCUCAGGUCCACCAGCCUUUGGAGGAAAAGACACAAUUUUUGUCCGUCCGCAUCUGUAGGUUCCGGCAGAGGACAGAAACUGGAGAGGAUGGCACUUGGAUGAGAGAGUAGCCUCUGCCCAGAUUUGCCGUCCCUGACUCCAGCAGGCCUUGCCCUACCUUGGAGGAGGUGUAACUCAGGGUACAUUUCCUGCUUCAAAAUCACUUGCCCAUGGGCCUAUCCUAUACAGAGUGAUAGGCUGAGGAAUUUUCUCUAAGAUUGGUACGGGGGCAAGCACCCUGUGAUUCCACCAGGAUCACACAUGCAGAGGGUGCCAAGAAAAUGGACACACGUUUUAUGAAAGGAAAAAAAACUGUAUUAAAAUCGUAAUACUCAACAUAUACCGAUACCAAAAGAUGAAUAUGAGUCAUGUGUAUACAUUUUUUUGGCACCUCCGGUAUGGUAGCGGAGAGAAGGACCUGAAAGAGUGGGACGUAGAAUGGUAAGUUUUUGGUUUUGUUUUGUUUGGACAAUUUGUUGAGAUAAAUUUACACACACAAAAAUUAAUCCACUUAAAGAGUACAGUUAAAUGGGCUUUGAUAAAUAGAUACGCCCAUGUGACCACCACCACAAUGAAGAUAUUAAAUAUGUCCAUCACCCCUAAAAUUGCCCUCAUGCUCCUUCCAGGUCAAUCUCCUUUUCCCACCACCCCACUCCUCACCCUGUCUCCAGGUCUCCUAUCCCUGACAACUACUAAUCAGCUUUCGAUUAC